UGGGGAAUUUUGGACAAUGGGCGAAAGCCUGAUCCAGCAAUGCCGCGUGUGUGAAGAAGGCCUUCGGGUUGUAAAGCACUUUUGUCCGGAAAGAAAUCCUUGGCUCUAAUACAGUCGGGGGAUGACGGUACCGGAAGAAUAAGCACCGGCUAACUACGUGCCAGCAGCCGCGGUAAUACGUAGGGUGCAAGCGUUAAUCGGAAUUACUGGGCGUAAAGCGUGCGCAGGCGGUUUGCUAAGACCGAUGUGAAAUCCCCGGGCUCAACCUGGGAACUGCAUUGGUGACUGGCAGGCUAGAGUAUGGCAGAGGGGGGUAGAAUUCCACGUGUAGCAGUGAAAUGCGUAGAGAUGUGGAGGAAUACCGAUGGCGAAGGCAGCCCCCUGGGCCAAUACUGACGCUCAUGCACGAAAGCGUGGGGAGCAAACAGGAUUAGAUACCCUGGUAGUCCACGCCCUAAACGAUGCCAACUAGUUGUUGGGGAUUCAUUUCCUUAGUAACGUAGCUAACGCGUGAAGUUGACCGCCUGGGGAGUACGGUCGCAAGAUUAAAACUUAAAGGAAUUGACGGGGUCAUAGCUGUUUCCU
rnacentral:rRNA from 1 species